AACGCGAGAGGGUACGGGACCCACACACACACAAAAAAAAAUAUAUAUAUGUUUACUUAUUAUUUGUCAGAGGAAUUGCGUUUGGUUUUGGAGAGAUAGUUCGCUUGAUCAGUUAUUAUAGCGUUUAGAAACAAUCUGGCCACUGUGUAUAUAUUUAAAUAAUAAACUCUGUAGAACUGAGCACAUUUCGUGUAGAAAUUAUUCUGGAAUUGAUAGAUUGUCCCUUAAAUAUAAUCUGUGGAUUUGCUGCAGAAAUACUUUUUUUUUACUGGGAGAAGACAACUCGUCACGCAGAGUGAACUGGGCAUUUGACACUACAUUUUAAAACAUGACCAAACACGAGUUCUCUGUUGAUAUGACCUGUGAAGGCUGCUCCGGUGCUGUAACCCGCGUCCUUAAUAAGCUCGGGGGUGUCCAGUUUGACAUUGACCUGCCCAACAAGAAGGUUUUUAUUGAGUCGGAGCACAGCGUGGACCUGCUUCUGGAAACACUGAAGAAGACUGGGAAAAAUGCCACGUAUGUCGGUGCUAAGUAGAAAACCUGCCAUCAAAGAAAGAAGGGCACAUCAGCGUAGAAGGUUGGUUCAGUUAUCAAGCAACUGUCACAGGUAUGCGACUCCGUUGGGAACUGAAGGAACAUGAGCAGUAACAUCAAAUCAAACCUUCAAACACUGUUGAAAUCAUGGGGGCCUCUUCUGUUCUCUUCUGUCAUUUUCUGUGCUUUGGGGAACCAUUUGAAUUUUUUUAUUUUUGGAAGGGUAAAAAAAAAAGCUGUAUUAUUUAACUCCAUCAGCCUUCAAUAUAAUAUCUCUAUACCGUGUAUACGUCUAUGUUCCGAUUCAAUUAAACUGUGUACCAUUGCAUUGCG